ACGGUCCUUAUUUCCGGUUCCGGCGCAUGAGAGCUAGUGUUAGCCGUUUGGGCUUCUAGCGGACGUUCAAGUCAAAAAACUGACCACAGUGGCUACAUCUGAUUGAGUGAAAUGGUGACCAACGUGUGGAACAACUCGGUACCUACAAUGGACACAUGGGAUCUGGAUUGACUGUGACUGGGACAGCAGAAAUGUCUUGACAGGAUCAGCUGACAACAACUGUCAACUGUGAGACUGCGUGAUCGUGUCUGCCGCCAGAACACGCAGGUUCGAUUUCAGCGGCAUCAUCGUCAUGUUUUCCACAGAUGAGUGGAUGGGCCAUCGGUGUUUCAUGAACUUGUUCGACCUCAGGGAUCCACAGAUCGAGAAGUCCUGAAGAAAUCUAAGGAGCACAGCAGGCACAUCAACGACAUCCCGACGUCUGUAGACCUCACCAUGUUCAUCAGUGCCUCAAUGGACAACAUCACCAAGCUCUUUGAUCGGAGAACUCUGCCGCCAUUUCACCUAUCACGUAGUACUGGGCAGGAGGCCAUGGAAGUGACCACAACUUCCACCAGGAUUGGCAAGUUUGAGGCCAGAUGAGUUGAAGUGGAGUUUCCAGAGUAUUAUUGUUACUUGUUGUCUUCAUCCAAACAAAAGAAAGCGGUUCUUCCAAGCUGCGUACGAAGAGGAGUUUGGCCCCCAUCAACUGUGUGGCUUUCCACCCUGACGGCAAGAGGAGGAGAAGACUUGUGGACACAGCAGCUUGGACUCUGCCAGGUAGAGUGAACGAGCAACUUCAUUUGAAGCAGAUCAGUUGCUGGACUUGUGAGUAUUUUACUGAAAUGUCUAAUUGCCUUAAUGGUAUUGUUGUUUCAUUGUGAGGUGCAUUUGACUUAAGACUGUUGUAAACCGUCCAGAGUAAGUUUCUUCUAAAGGUAAAGAAACUUUUUGACUUUUUUGAGGUAAAAAUUCAUUGUGCCUUAAUGCUAUUGUGAAACAGUCACUUUCAUUGUGAGCUGUAUUUGACUGAAAAGACUGUUGUAAAUGUUCCAGAAUAAAGAAAAUUGUUGUAAACAC